AUUUAUGGCUAUGCCACCCUGAACAAGCCCGAUCCCAUCUGAUCUCAGAAUCUAAGCAGAGUUGGGCCUGGUUAGUACUUGGAUGGGAGACCACUUAGGAAGACCAGGUGCUUGCUGUAGGCA
rnacentral:rRNA from 1 species